CCACCAUUCACACUAAAAUAAAAAUACAAAAUUACUGAAUCCAUACUUCAGUUCUAUGAUAUCUACCAGUACACCAUAAUAAUUAAUCUCUUCUUCUCCUUCAUAUCCUGUUGUAGCAAUUCCACAUUCUGGAUACGUCGUUGCAUCUCAAGUUUUCUUGUGUGAAAUCUUAUUCCUCCAAUGAUAUAGGAUGCGUAGUGAUUAACCCU
rnacentral:lncRNA from 1 species